rnacentral:rRNA from 1 species
GACGAACGCUGGCGGCGUGCUUAACACAUGCAAGUCGAGCGAGGCCCCUCCUUCGGGAGGGUGUCCUAGCGGCGAACGGGUGAGUAACACGUGGGCAACCUGCCCUCAGCUCUGGGAUAACUCCGGGAAACCGGGGCUAAUACCGGAUACGACCUCCACGGGCAUCUGCGGAGGUGGAAAGUUUUUCGGCUGAGGAUGGGCCCGCGGCCUAUCAGCUAGUUGGUGGGGUAGUGGCCCACCAAGGCGACGACGGGUAGCCGGCCUGAGAGGGCGACCGGCCGCACUGGGACUGAGACACGGCCCAGACUCCUACGGGAGGCAGCAGUGGGGAAUAUUGCGCAAUGGGCGAAAGCCUGACGCAGCGACGCCGCGUGAGGGACGAAGGCCUUCGGGUUGUAAACCUCUUUCAGCAGGGACGAAGCGAAAGUGACGGUACCUGCAGAAGAAGCACCGGCCAACUACGUG